GGGCGGAUGGUGGAAUUGGCAGACACGCUAGCCUUAGGAGCUAGUGGGGGAAACCCCUUGGAGGUUCAACUCCUCUUCCGCCCACCA
rnacentral:tRNA from 1 species